rnacentral:rRNA from 1 species
UAUCUCUGUAGAGUCUGCAUAUCAAUAAGCGGAGGAAAAGAAACUAACAAGGAUUCCCUUAGUAACGGCGAGUGAAGCGGGAAGAGCUCAAAUUUGAAAUCUUCAAGGUUCUACCUUGACGAAUUGUAGUUUAAAGAAGUGUUUUCUGUUAGAUGAGUAGCAAAAGUUCCUUGGAAUGGGACAUCAUAGAGGGUGAGAAUCCCGUAUUUGGUUAUUCAUUCUAGCUUUGUGAUACACUUUCAAAGAGUCGGAUUGUUUGGGAAUGCAGUCCAAAAUGGGUGGUAGAUUUCAUCUAAAGCUAAAUAUUGGCGAGAGACCGAUAGCGAACAAGUACCGUGAGGGAAAGAUGAAAAGAACUUUGAAAAGAGAGUUAAACAGUACGUGAAAUUGUCAAAAGGGAAGCGUUUGACACCAGUGUUGUUUUUCCGAAAAUCAAUUACGAAUGGCUUGAUUUUGUGUUGUAUUGACCUUAUCAGCUUUCUUCACUUUUUUCGAGUCUUUCUUAAUGCACUUUUUGGUUAACAAGUCAACAUCAAUUUCUUUUGUUGUAAAAGAGUAUUCGGAAGGUGGCUUUCUUUUCGGAGAAAGUGUUUAUAGCCCUAUACUUCUACAAUCGGAGAGAUUGAGGUCUGCAGCGUAGAUCCUUCGGGGUUAGAUACACUUGUGCUAAGUUGUAGCUUUUCAUAGACAACUUGUUGACUAUGUUUAGUCAUGCGGCUUACUCGCUUGUGCUAUUUUACCUACGCUUAGGAUGUUGACUGAUAUGUAGUCGU